CAGAAUAUAUAUCGGUAAACGCGCAUCCAUAUGAUGUCGCCCUCAUAUGAAAGAGGCAUCAUGAGUCGCUUCACAGUUAUUUUUCUACUUGGACUUGGUGGUGCUAGUGCGGACAAUAAGCCGGACUUUACGUUUGAAGAAAUAUUUUCUGGUGAAGGUCACAGCUCACGGAAAAAUAUACCAAAAGCAAAUAAAAAAGAAUAUCAAAUCAGCGAUGAAUGUGAGCAUAGCAGAACUUCCCGUUCUCACAUACAUACUGCAGUACUGGGACAGAAAUGAACGCUGUGGAGUUAUAACCUUUCUUGACAGAAAUGGCGAAAACCAAUG
rnacentral:lncRNA from 1 species